GAUGAACGCUGGCGGCGUGCCUAAUACAUGCAAGUCGAGCGAACAGACGAGGAGCUUGCUCCUCUGACGUUAGCGGCGGACGGGUGAGUAACACGUGGAUAACUUACCUAUAAGACUGGGAUAACUUCGGGAAACCGGAGCUAAUACCGGAUAAUAUAUUGAACCGCAUGGUUCAAUAGUGAAAGACGGUUUUGCUGUCACUUAUAGAUGGAUCCGCGCCGCAUUAGCUAGUUGGUAGGGUAACGGCUUACCAAGGCAACGAUGCGUAGCCGACCUGAGAGGGUGAUCGGCCACACUGGAACUGAGACACGGUCCAGACUCCUACGGGAGGCAGCAGUAGGGAAUCUUCCGCAAUGGGCGAAAGCCUGACGGAGCAACGCCGCGUGAGUGAUGAAGGUCUUCGGAUCGUAAAACUCUGUUAUUAGGGAAGAACAAAUGUGUAAGUAACUAUGCACGUCUUGACGGUACCUAAUCAGAAAGCCACGGCUAACUACGUG
rnacentral:rRNA from 1 species